rnacentral:rRNA from 1 species
GACGAACGCUGGCGGCGUGCUUAACACAUGCAAGUCGAACGGAAAGGCCCUGCUUUUGUGGGGUGCUCGAGUGGCGAACGGGUGAGUAACACGUGAGUAACCUGCCCUUGACUUUGGGAUAACUUCAGGAAACUGGGGCUAAUACCGGAUAGGAGCUCCUGCUGCAUGGUGUGGGUUGGAAAGUUUCGGCGGUUGGGGAUGGACUCGCGGCUUAUCAGCUUGUUGGUGGGGUAGUGGCUUACCAAGGCUUUGACGGGUAGCCGGCCUGAGAGGGUGACCGGCCACAUUGGGACUGAGAUACGGCCCAGACUCCUACGGGAGGCAGCAGGGGGGAAUAGUGCGCAAUGGGCGGAAGCCUGAUGCAGCAACGCCGCGUGCGGGAUGACGGCCUUCGGGUUGUAAACCGCUUUCGCCUGUGACGAAGCGUGAGUGACGGUAAUGGGUAAAGAAGCACCGGCUAACUACGUG